rnacentral:rRNA from 1 species
AACCUGCCCUCUGUAAUAUAAAUGGCCGCAGUAUUUUGACUGUGCUAAGGUAGCAUAAUCAUUAGUUUUUUAAUUGAAAGCUGGAAUGAAAGGUUGAAUAAAAAAAUAUCUUUAUUUUAUUAAAAUAAUUAAAAUUUUAUUUUUAAGUUAAAAAGCUUAAAUUUUUAUUAAAGACGAGAAGACCCUAUAGAGUUUUAUAUAUAAUUUUUUACUAUAAUUUAGUAAUUUAAUUAAUUAAGAUUUUUAUAUAUUUAAUUGGGGUGAUUUAAAAAUUAAUAAAACUUUUUUUAUAUAAUUAUAUUUUUUAUAGAUUUAUGAUUUUAAUGUUUAGAUUAUAAGAAUAAAUUACCUUAGGGAUAACAGCGUAAUUUUAUUAGAGAGUUCAAAUUGAAAAUAAAGAUUGCGACCUCGAUGUUGGAUUAAAAUUUAUUUUUGGUGUAGAAGCUAAAUUA